rnacentral:rRNA from 1 species
GGGUUGUGAGGUUAAGCGACUAAGCGUACACGGUGGAUGCCCUGGCAGUCAGAGGCGAUGAAGGACGUGCUAAUCUGCGAUAAGCGUCGGUAAGGUGAUAUGAACCGUUAUAACCGGCGAUUUCCGAAUGGGGAAACCCAGUGUGAUUCGUCACACUAUCAUUAACUGAAUCCAUAGGUUAAUGAGGCGAACCGGGGGAACUGAAACAUCUAAGUACCCCGAGGAAAAGAAAUCAACCGAGAUUCCCCCAGUAGCGGCGAGCGAACGGGGAGCAGCCCAGAGCCUGAAUCAGUGUGUGUGUUAGUGGAAGCGUCUGGAAAGGCGCGCGAUACAGGGUGACAGCCCCGUACACAAAAAUGCACAUGCUGUGAGCUCGAUGAGUAGGGCGGGACACGUGGUAUCCUGUCUGAAUAUGGGGGGACCAUCCUCCAAGGCUAAAUACUCCUGACUGACCGAUAGUGAACCAGUACCGUGAGGGAAAGGCGAAAAGAACCCCGGCGAGGGGAGUGAAAAAGAACCUGAAACCGUGUACGUACAAGCAGUGGGAGCCUCUUUAUGGGGUGACUGCGUACCUUUUGUAUAAUGGGUCAGCGACUUAUAUUCUGUAGCAAGGUUAACCGAAUAGGGGAGCCGAAGGGAAACCGAGUCUUAACUGGGCGUUAAGUUGCAGGGUAUAGACCCGAAACCCGGUGAUCUAGCCAUGGGCAGGUUGAAGGUUGGGUAACACUAACUGGAGGACCGAACCGACUAAUGUUGAAAAAUUAGCGGAUGACUUGUGGCUGGGGGUGAAAGGCCAAUCAAACCGGGAGAUAGCUGGUUCUCCCCGAAAGCUAUUUAGGUAGCGCCUCGUGAAUUCAUCUCCGGGGGUAGAGCACUGUUUCGGCAAGGGGGUCAUCCCGACUUACCAACCCGAUGCAAACUGCGAAUACCGGAGAAUGUUAUCACGGGAGACACACGGCGGGUGCUAACGUCCGUCGUGAAGAGGGAAACAACCCAGACCGCCAGCUAAGGUCCCAAAGUCAUGGUUAAGUGGGAAACGAUGUGGGAAGGCCCAGACAGCCAGGAUGUUGGCUUAGAAGCAGCCAUCAUUUAAAGAAAGCGUAAUAGCUCACUGGUCGAGUCGGCCUGCGCGGAAGAUGUAACGGGGCUAAACCAUGCACCGAAGCUGCGGCAGCGACGCUUAUGCGUUGUUGGGUAGGGGAGCGUUCUGUAAGCCUGCGAAGGUGUACUGUGAGGUAUGCUGGAGGUAUCAGAAGUGCGAAUGCUGACAUAAGUAACGAUAAAGCGGGUGAAAAGCCCGCUCGCCGGAAGACCAAGGGUUCCUGUCCAACGUUAAUCGGGGCAGGGUGAGUCGACCCCUAAGGCGAGGCCGAAAGGCGUAGUCGAUGGGAAACAGGUUAAUAUUCCUGUACUUGGUGUUACUGCGAAGGGGGGACGGAGAAGGCUAUGUUGGCCGGGCGACGGUUGUCCCGGUUUAAGCGUGUAGGCUGGUUUUCCAGGCAAAUCCGGAAAAUCAAGGCUGAGGCGUGAUGACGAGGCACUACGGUGCUGAAGCAACAAAUGCCCUGCUUCCAGGAAAAGCCUCUAAGCAUCAGGUAACAUCAAAUCGUACCCCAAACCGACACAGGUGGUCAGGUAGAGAAUACCAAGGCGCUUGAGAGAACUCGGGUGAAGGAACUAGGCAAAAUGGUGCCGUAACUUCGGGAGAAGGCACGCUGAUAUGUAGGUGAAGCGACUUGCUCGUGGAGCUGAAAUCAGUCGAAGAUACCAGCUGGCUGCAACUGUUUAUUAAAAACACAGCACUGUGCAAACACGAAAGUGGACGUAUACGGUGUGACGCCUGCCCGGUGCCGGAAGGUUAAUUGAUGGGGUUAGCGGUAACGCGAAGCUCUUGAUCGAAGCCCCGGUAAACGGCGGCCGUAACUAUAACGGUCCUAAGGUAGCGAAAUUCCUUGUCGGGUAAGUUCCGACCUGCACGAAUGGCGUAAUGAUGGCCAGGCUGUCUCCACCCGAGACUCAGUGAAAUUGAACUCGCUGUGAAGAUGCAGUGUACCCGCGGCAAGACGGAAAGACCCCGUGAACCUUUACUAUAGCUUGACACUGAACAUUGAGCCUUGAUGUGUAGGAUAGGUGGGAGGCUUUGAAGUGUGGACGCCAGUCUGCAUGGAGCCGACCUUGAAAUACCACCCUUUAAUGUUUGAUGUUCUAACGUUGGCCCCUGAUCGGGGUUGCGGACAGUGUCUGGUGGGUAGUUUGACUGGGGCGGUCUCCUCCUAAAGAGUAACGGAGGAGCACGAAGGUUGGCUAAUCCUGGUCGGACAUCAGGAGGUUAGUGCAAUGGCAUAAGCCAGCUUGACUGCGAGCGUGACGGCGCGAGCAGGUGCGAAAGCAGGUCAUAGUGAUCCGGUGGUUCUGAAUGGAAGGGCCAUCGCUCAACGGAUAAAAGGUACUCCGGGGAUAACAGGCUGAUACCGCCCAAGAGUUCAUAUCGACGGCGGUGUUUGGCACCUCGAUGUCGGCUCAUCACAUCCUGGGGCUGAAGUAGGUCCCAAGGGUAUGGCUGUUCGCCAUUUAAAGUGGUACGCGAGCUGGGUUUAGAACGUCGUGAGACAGUUCGGUCCCUAUCUGCCGUGGGCGCUGGAGAACUGAGGGGGGCUGCUCCUAGUACGAGAGGACCGGAGUGGACGCAUCACUGGUGUUCGGGUUGUCAUGCCAAUGGCACUGCCCGGUAGCUAAAUGCGGAAGAGAUAAGUGCUGAAAGCAUCUAAGCACGAAACUUGCCCCGAGAUGAGUUCUCCCUGACUCCCUGAGAGUCCUGAAGGAACGUUGAAGACGACGACGUUGAUAGGCCGGGUGUGUAAGCGCAGCGAUGCGUUGAGCUAACCGGUACUAAUGAACCGUGAGGCUUAACCUUACAACGCCGAAG